rnacentral:rRNA from 1 species
AAGUUCUGGUGUCAGCCGCCGCGGUAAAACCAGCACCUCAAGUGGUCAGGAUGAUUAUUGGGCCUAAAGCAUCCGUAGCCGGUUUUGUUAGUUUUCGGUUAAAUUCAUGUGCUCAACGCAUGGGCCGCCGAAAAUACUGCAAGACUAGGGAGUGGGAGAGGUAGACGGUACUCAAUAGGAAGGGGUAAAAUCCUUUGAUCUACUGAUGACCACCCGUGGCGAAGGCGGUCUACUAGAACACGUCCGACGGUGAGGGAUGAAAGCUGGGGGAGCAAACCGGAUUAGAUACCCGGGUAGUCCCAGCUGUAAACGAUGCAGACUCGAUGAUGCAUUGGCAUAUAGCCAGUGCAGUGUCGCAGGGAAGCCGUUAAGUCUGCCGCCUGGGAAGUACGUACGCAAGUAUGAAACUUAAAGGAA